rnacentral:miRNA from 1 species
AAAAGAUCGAGGAUCCGAUAUUG